UACGUAGGGGGCAAGCGUUGUCCGGAUUUAUUGGGCGUAAAGAGCGUGUAGGCGGUUUGGUAGGUCCGCUGUGAAAACUCGAGGCUCAACCUCGAGACGCCGGUGGAAACCAUCAGGCUAGAGUCCGGAAGAGGAGAGUGGAAUUCCUGGUGUAGCGGUGAAAUGCGCAGAUAUCAGGAAGAACACCCGUGGCUAAGGCGGCUCUCUGGAACGCAACUGACGCUGAGACGCGAAAAGCGUGGGGAGCAAACAGG
rnacentral:rRNA from 1 species